CUGACAGUCCUGGAGCCUGGAGCUCUGCUCGGCCACAGAACGGCGCCCAAAGCUGACAGCAGGGUGGAGGUGAACAUGCUGCUCACCUUAUGCUCCUGAAUUGUGGUCUUGAAGUGACCACGUCUGAGGACAGGGGAAGUUCUGUUUUCACACCCGUUUAAUCCUUGGCUUCU
rnacentral:sRNA from 1 species